rnacentral:rRNA from 1 species
AUUGAACGCUGGCGGCAUGCCUUACACAUGCAAGUCGAACGGUAACGGGCCUUCGGGUGCCGACGAGUGGCGAACGGGUGAGUAAUGUAUCGGAACGUACCAUUGAGUGGGGGAUAACGUAGCGAAAGUUACGCUAAUACCGCAUAUUCUCCCCUGAGGAAAGCAGGGGACCGCAAGGCCUUGCGCUCUUUGAGCGGCCGAUAUCAGAUUAGCUAGUUGGUGGGGUAAAAGCUCACCAAGGCGACGAUCCGGAGCGGGUCUGAGAGGAUGAUGCGCCACAAUGGAACUGGGACACGGUCCAGACUCCUACGGGAGGCAGCAGUGGGGAAUUUUGGACAAUGGGGGCAACCCUGAUCCAGCCAUGCCGCGUGGGUGAAGAAGGCCUUCGGGUUGUAAAGCUCUUUCAGCCGGGAAGAAAUCGCAUGGGCUAAUACCCCGUGCGGAUGACGGUACCGGAAUAAGAAGCACCGGCUAACUACGUGCCAGCAGCCGCCGCCGUAA